rnacentral:rRNA from 1 species
AAUAUUGGACAACGGGCGAAAGCCUGAUCUAGCCAUGCCGCGUGUGUGAAGAAGGUCUUCGGAUUGUAAAGCACUUUAAGUUGGGUGGAAGGGUUGUCGGUUAAUACCCUGCACUUUCGACGUUACCAACAGAAUACGCACUGGCUAACUUCGUGCCAGCAGCCGCGGUAAUACGAAGGGUGCAAGCGUUAAUCGGAAUUACUGGGCGCAAAGCGCGCGUAGGUGGUUCGUUAAGUUGGAAGUGAAAGCCCCGGGCUUAACCUGGGAAUUGCUUUCAAAACUGACGAGCUAGAGUACGGUAGAGGGUAGUGGAAUUUCCUGUGUAGCGGUGAAAUGCGUAGAUAUAGGAAGGAACAUCAGUGGCGAAGGCGACUACCUGGACUGAUACUGACACUGAGGUGCGAAAGCGUGGGGAGCAAACAGG